UUGUUCUUCAAAAUGCCACCACAAGGCAGUGUCUGGCCUGAAUAAGAGCUGCUUGAUUGUGAAGACGUGCCCUUACUCUAAGAUCGAUUAUGGGUCCUAAUAUAAGAAUUCAUGAACCUUAAGAAAUCUGACACACCAAUAAUUGGCAUUUCUGACGCGAAAUUUUCAAUUGGCAUGCAUCCGUUUCAGAUCCGUUCAUCAUCCG
rnacentral:lncRNA from 1 species